rnacentral:rRNA from 1 species
UGGGGGAUAUUGCACAAUGGGCGAAAGCCUGAUGCAGCGACGCCGCGUGGGGGAUGAAGGCCUUCGGGUUGUAAACUUCUUUUGCUCUGAACAAGGCAUGCCUUUGGGGUGAGUUGAGCGUAGGGGUUGAUUAGCGCCGGCUAACUACGUGCCAGCAGCCGCGGUAAUACGUAGGGCGCGAGCGUUGUCCGGAAUUAUUGGGCGUAAAGGGCUUGUAGGUGGCUGGUUGCGUCUGUCGUGAAAGCUCAUGGCUUAACUGUGGGUUUGCGGUGGGUAAGGGCUGGCUUGAGUGCAGUAGGGGAGGCUGGAGUUCCUGGUGUAGCGGUGGAAUGCGCAGAUAUCAGGAGGAAUACCGGUGGCGAAGGCGGGUCUCUGGGCUGUUACUGGCGCUGAGGAGCGAAAGCGUGGGGAGCGAACAGG